rnacentral:misc_RNA from 1 species
GAGUUUUCAACUCCCAACCCCUGUGAACAUACCUAUCGUUGCUUCGGCGGACACGCCCCGGCGCCCCCGGGCCCGGACCAAGGCGCCCGCCGGAGGCCAAAAAACCACUGUGUAUUAUGUUUUCUUCUGAGUUAAACAAGCAAAUAAAUCAAAACUUUCAACAACGGAUCUCUUGGUUCU